CAUUACAUAUUUGUUUACAACCCAAGAACCACCUUUGUAUGUGUUAACUGGUGCUUGUUUGCAUUUUCUGAAUUAUGCUCCUUACAGACCAUAACAAAAUGACAACAGUCACGGCCGCAUAUUGUUAUGUACACUAUUUAUUUUACUUUUUUUUCAUUAUUUCUUUUUAUUAUUACUUUUUAAUAUUUUAGCAAUGCACCCUUUAGAAGUUGGUGCCCCAAGCAGCAGCCUGUGUAGCCUACACCAAAAGACAGCUCUGUGAUUUAUUCAUUUAUUCCUUUUCAUGCACUUAAGUACAAAUGGCCAUGAAUUUAUUUUUGAGGAGACUAGUCAUAAAACUAUUCAUGGCUAUUUCCAUGCUUUUUCUUCAUGCUGACCUUGUUUGGGUGCUGUGCGCAAUCCCAAUGCAUGAAAUAAAUUCUUGCAAUUUGAGGGUUAAAGUAACAAAUUACCAAAUCCCAGACAAUUCAAAUAUUGCAUAAAUCAAUUAAAAGGCUUUUCAUAUGGAAACAUUGACAUUAUACUUUAAAAGGUCAAAAUAAAACUGAAAAGCUGAGGCUUCAUCUUUUUUUCAUGAAAAAUCACUCGUCACCGGCUGUAUGUUGUUAGCUCAUUAAACUCUGAUUGGGCAGAGCUGGUCUCUGGUAACAUUUAUUAGUCGUCGUGCUGUCAUGGUUUUCACUGCUGAUCUGCAACAUGCUGUCUCGUCACGUCCUCCAAGGGGUUUCCCUCUUGGCCUUGCUUAUUCUGGAUGCUCAUGGUGUUCCUGUCAAAGG